UGCUACUUUAGUUUAUUAUUUCAUUCGAACACUUCCGAUAAAGGCUUGAAAUUAAUGACAAACAGAGAAAGAGAGAGAGGCUUGUAAUUUCAUAUUUAUGACAAUGGAGCAUGUAUACUCAUAAUGUCAAUCGACAGCUAAAGAUCUUUGCCUUUUUAAAUAGGACAUGUAUUUCGCAAGUAUCUGAAAGCAUAUCUCAAAUUUUAUUAUAUCGAUCAAAAGUCCACAGUGUUGCACCAUCACGGAUACACGUAUAUAUCGCGUGCAUAAAAUGUGCAAACUAAAAAUAAUGCGUCUUACGACAAAGCGAGUUAUGAAAUCCUCGGGCGGAUUAUGUAAAAUACACACAACAAUAACACACAGUGGCAGCGUAUACCGACACGAUAUAGCGCACGUUCUCGGUAUGGUAGGCGUGGACGAUAACAAAAGAAGCGAAAAUGAACGGUCAUGAACGAAGGAAGAAGCAUGCAAUGACGAGAUCGGGAUCGUUGCGAAAUUACUAAGGUCAGGCGAGCGACCAGGCGACGACGUGCGCGUGAUGCAACCUCAAAACGCUCGCGUGCCGCCCGUCUUGGCCCGAUUAUGCAUAAUGCCGCGAGUCGAGGUUAUGUGCGAGCCGCGCGGCAUACAUUCACCUUACUAUUCUCACGUGCCGUAAGAGGCCACGACGGCACGACCGCAACAUUUCAACUCAACAGGGGCUGUGAAAACAGUUUAUUUAUAACUUGCAGCUGAAAUAUAAAUAAUCCUGAAUAUUAACGAAGAGAUGUAAAAAGUGUAACGAAUGAAGGGGUAAAUGGAUGUGUAUCGAAAUGGAAAAAGAACGAUCCCUUCCCGCGGAGCACGAAAAUCAGGCGAAACUCAACAGGCCGGAACUUCCGUAAAAAUAAUUACAACGAGGUGGUCCAAGAAGCAUUUUAUAGCUUGGAGUUUUUGUAAAUAUGUUUUUAUUUCAGGUUGAAACAAAACGCGUCCUUUCGGCUUUGAUCGCUUGCAGAAGAGGAACGAAUGGAUGUAUAAAGUUCGUUAACAAAUGAAU